AUUGAACGCUGGCGGCAUGCUUUACACAUGCAAGUCGAACGGCAGCGCGGGCUUCGGCCUGGCGGCGAGUGGCGAACGGGUGAGUAAUGCAUCGGAACGUGCCCAGUAGUGGGGGAUAGCCCGGCGAAACCCGGAUUAAUACCGCAUACGACCUGAGGGUGAAAGCGGGGGACCGAAAGGCCUCGCGCUAUUGGAUCGGCCGAUGUCGGAUUAGCUAGUUGGUGGGGUAAAGGCUUACCAAGGCGACGAUCCGUAGCUGGUCUGAGAGGACGACCAGCCACACUGGGACUGAGACACGGCCCAGACUCCUACGGGAGGCAGCAGUGGGGAAUUUUGGACAAUGGGGGCAACCCUGAUCCAGCCAUGCCGCGUGCGGGAAGAAGGCCUUCGGGUUGUAAACCGCUUUUGUUCGGGAAGAAAUCCUCUGGGCUAAUACCCCGGGGGGAUGACGGUACCGGAAGAAUAAGCACCGGCUAACUACGUG
rnacentral:rRNA from 1 species